CUUCUAUUUCGUUACUUUCGUUUUAGUCGGUGUCAGACGUUCAUUGAUUCUCUCGUCUCGUAUGCAUAAAAAUACCUGUCUGGUUAUGAGUUAAAACGUCCAGAAAAGAGUGGUCCCCGUAGCGUUUAUGUUGGUGCAUCUCCUUAAAAAGAAAAUGUCGCACCCUCUUAAAAUGUUGGGAUUGUUUUUCAUCUUCUUGUCGUGUUUUUCAACCACACCCAGCCGAGCUGAAGGAGUGUACAAAGCUGUAGGUGAAGAUGUUGUCCUCAGUUUACCCCUGGUGGAGUCUUCUAUCCAGAGCAUAGAGUGGAAACACAAUGGUGAUAUUGCUGCAGAGAUGUAUGGAAACAAAGUUCAGUACUUUCUCCAGUUUAAAGGUCGUUGUGAGGUGAACAUUGAUACUGGAGCACUGACAAUAAAAGGACUAAAACUGAACGACAGCGGCAUCUACACACCAGAGAUUAACUACAAAGUCUUCAACAAGACUGAACUCUCUGUUAUCUCUCGUGUAGCUAAACCCUCUGUCAUUAAAUCCUGCAACAUGAAGAUGACCAAUUGUAGCCUGACCUGUGAAGGCAACACUGCAGACGCUGAACCAACCACCUAUAAGUGGUUUUUAGAUGAUCAUGAGGGACCUCCAGGCAAGGUUUUGACCAUAUUAAAGGACAGGUUGGAGACCAGUUUCAGAUGCAUGUUGAUGAACCCGGUCAGCAAUGAAACCAGUGAACACUUCAGAAACCCCUUCAUCAUUCAUGCCGUUCUAGUUUACGGAGCUAAAGAUGAAGAUAUGAUCCUCAGACCACCCCCCAUGACUGAUAUUAUCAAAGGCAUAGAGUGGAAACACAAUGGAAAUAUUGCAGCUGGGUGGUAUGGAGACAAGUUUGAGUGCCUUAACCAGUUUGAAGGUCGCUGUGAGGUGAACACUGAAACUGGAGCACUGACCAUCAAAGAACUGAAACUAACAGACAACGGCAUCUACACACCAGAGAUUAACAGCAAAGUCUACAACAAGAUUGAACUCUCUGUUAUCUCUCGUGUGGCUAAACCUUCUGUCGUCAAAUUCUGCAACACUGAGAUGACCCGCUGUAGCCUGACCUGUGAAGGUAACACUGCAGACACUGAACCAAUCACUUAUAAGUGGCUUUUAGAUGACGUGGAUGGACCCUCAGACAAGGUGUUGACUAUAACAGAGGAUACAAAGGAGUACAGUUUCAGAUGUUUGAUGAUGAACCCAGUCAUCAAUGAAACCAGUGAAAGCGUCACAAACCCCAUCAUCAUUAAACAGGAACGGAACCGACUGGCACUCAUCAUUGGAUUAGUUGUAGGAGCGAUUGUUUUGGUAGUCAUUGUGGUUGCUGUAUUUUUCAUCAGGGAAAAAAGGCGAAAAUCAAAAAAACCAGAAAUUAUAGAACUCACAGAAAGAGAUGAAGAAGGAGAAGAGGAAGAGAGGGGGCCACUAAAUCAACCUCCUGAUUGUGAAGGACAACCCAAAGACAACCAACAUCUCAGCAAUGGAGCUGGAACCCAGGGAACCAACCAGGUCUCAGUGAUAUAAAAUUGCCACAGCGGAGCUGAGACUGAGUCAGUGACUCCAGAAACUUCCAACCAGAGCCUGGCAGAAGCUGCAGCCUCUGACACUGACCAGGAAACUGUUUUAUAGAGCUCACAUCUGUAGUGGUUCCUGACCUGCAGACCUCUGGACCUAAGAAAUCUGCACUGAUGCCAGACAAGAAACCAGAAACCAACUGUGAGCCAUCAGCUGAUGAACAGGAAGCCAAUGAUGGAGGAGAUGUUGACAUAUCGUGGGUGUACACUUUUUUCUUGUUUGAUAAAACCUAAAAAAAAAAAAAAAAAACAGGGUGCUAGAGACUUCUGUUACUGUCUGCUCCGUUUGAAGAUGUUACCCUCUCUAAGGGACGAAGUGUUACAUGAACUUAGUGAGAAAACUUGAAGAAAAGCAGUAUUUAUUUCUGACAUUCACUACCUGUUAUGACUGUGAGUCAUAUGUAUGGUAUUGUUUUGUUGUUGCAUAUUGUGUAGAGGAGCGUGUUUUCUUCCUCCUGUCUCUCGCUCUCUGCUCCUCCACCUUAAGCUUUGCUGCAGGUGUGGCGCGUCCCGAUUGGAUGACGGUGAAGGCGCGCACCAGCCGAUUAUUGGAGGAGUGAUGUGGCGUCAUCGGCUGCUAUUGGCGGAGGCUGAUAGUCACUCAUUCAAAAGAAGACAGCGGGAGCGGAGACGCUGACCCUCCUUCCUGACAGCCAACCUCUGUUACACAGCGUUCAUUGUGUUGAUCAACUGUGAUUUUGUUAUUUGUUAAAACUAAAAGUUCAAAUUUAUCGCAGUCCCGGUAGGUAGGGGAGUGUAGCUUUUUGGGGUAACCGUUUUCUCCUGUUUUUUGGUUAGGGAGCCAGUUUAGGUUUGUAUAAAUUUCCUUUGUUAAGACUAGGUAAGUGUUUUUGAUUUCUAAGAGUGUUUUUGUAAUCUUUUUUUUGCUACAUCUCCCUGAGGUAAGUUGUUGAAAGUAAAAAGAAAAAGAAAUCAUUACAUUUUAUUUUGUGGACUGCAAACUCAUUUCCUGACCCUUUUGUGUAAAUUCGUCUUGGAAGUGAGGAAGGAGAGGUUCAACCUUUAUGUUACGUCUAGUAUCCCCUAGGCUGGGCGUAACACUACCUAACAACCACGUCAGCUUGUAAUGAAAGAAUGAAUACAAUUAGCUGCUCCCUGCUGAUCAUGCAUUUCAAAAUCACUGCAUGGUUCAGGACCACUGAGUGAUAGUAGUUAACAUUUCUGUUAACAGCAGCUUCAGACCAGUGUAGCAUCAUAAUUGCUGUAUGUUGGAGGAAAAUGUGAAGAAACAGUUAAGGGAUUGAUGUCAAGGAAUUUUAGAAGAUUUUAAGAGUCUCUAUUUUUACACAGUUAAUGUUUUGUGACAUUUUUACUAGGCUAGAACAUCAAACUUUUUAUGGCUUUUACAUAGACCAACUUCUUUUUAAAGAUCAAAAGCUAGCAUUUUAGAAAGGGCCUUUUUGUAAUGUAUAUGCAAACUUGAGCUGAACAAAACACUCCGAAGUUAUUAUAUUUUUUUAAAUUUUAAUCUGUAGAACAAAGAGUGGAGGUCUCUUUUGCUCCACUUAAAGUCCCAUUUAAAUUCUAUGCAACUGGCUUAUAUUCCUUCAGAAUUUAGAUUAUAUAUUUUUAUAGAAUCAAAACUGUGCUGCCAUUUUUGAUGCCAAAACUUUAAGUUCAGGGAGAAAUCUCCUAAGAUUUCUAAUAAUAGUGAUUAGCCGUUACGGUGUUAUAAAUCCAGAAAAAACAUAGCCAAAAACAAGUAAAGAGACUAUUUUUGUAUGUUUACAUUUCCUUACAUUCUUCCAGUCGUGACCAAACACAAACAUUUGUGGCUUUUUUUUUUUUUAAAAAUCAGGACAUAUGAACUUUUUAUUUUAUACAUGUUAGAGUGACUGUUCCAACACUUGAAUGGUGCAAAAGAACUCUGAAAUCUUGGGAUGUCAUCAAACUUGAAUGGUUGUCAGAUGCUAAUUACUGUAAAAUCUGGUGUAUGAGACACUUUUUUAUUCAUCUGAAACUCUGUCUGACUCCUUUAUAUCAGUGCAGCUAGUAUACCUGUAUAAAGUGCUGAGACAUGCCUUUUAACUUGCUUUUAUUUUCAAUUGCAAUGCUGUUUUUGUAUAUGUAAGGUAGUGACCUAAACUCGCCACAGGGUGUCGCUGUUGCGCUUUGUAUUCCCUGAGGAGGAUAGCUGUAGAAGUUUUUUGUCCCUCACAGGGCACCUUAGAUUGCGCUAUCCUGCCGUGCGAGCGCCAUUUUUUCUUUAAUGUUUACUGUCAAGGUGCCAGAACCGGAUGUGGAGCCGUUCUAUUCCCAGUGUAUGUGAAAUAAAGCUCCUGGUCCCAGCUGCAAACAGAACUCCUGUUUCCGGUGUUUCGUCUCUCUGCAUGACACCUCCCAACCAUAACAUCAAACACAACGCAGAGUCCCAGGGUGUUUAGGGAGACUCCAGGAUCGCCAUCAUGGAGUGGGUUACAUAUAUGAGACAGUUUUCUUUGCUUGCGUUAAGUUUGAAGGAUUUUUGCUUGUUUGUAAAAUGUUAUACUCAUUCAAGCUUCCUGUAUCCCAAAUCCAAACUGCACACUCUUUCUACACAGUAUUUGCUAAAUACUCAUCUGAACAGCAUGAAGCUCUAAAAAUUAAGCUGUAAAACACACAUAGCCAUUUUAAACCAACACUGGAAAUGCUAGAUGUCCAAGUUGAAAAAUCAGCAACCUGAUAAACUGAAGAAUUCAUUGAUGUUUGCUUUCAAAUCUUUCUGGGGCUUUUUCAGCUCCUGCAUCACCUAUAAAAUACUGAAUAUGAAAUAAUAUGAAUGUUAUGAAAAUGUCAUAUAUGGAUGUGCAACACAAUGAUACACAGAAAUGAUUACUCUGGUACUCCAUACACUUGUUUUUCUGCAGUAUUGUGAGACACACAAUUCACCCACAUAGAAGUGACUCCAAAAUAGUCUGCCAUGGAUUUGGGACUCAGGAGAGUUGUGACCUAAAUGUAUAAAACAUCUCAUUAGUUCAUGUAAAUCUAUGAAUCAUUUCCGAACAUGGACAGAAGACUGAAUCCAGAAGCACAGAGAGUGAGUGUGUAGGUUCAGGUAGUCACUGAGAUUAUAACAGCACAGAAGUGACACUGAUGUACUGUGAAUCCUCUGCCAUACAGUAUGUUCACUCUAGUGAAUGUUGGAAAUAACUGAGUCCAGUCAUUAUGUCUGACAGCUGGAUGUUUUUUAUGUACGAUUAAAGACCCUGUUUACUGUAUGUGUGAAAACUGUGUGUGGAUCCUUAUGGAGAAAAUGUAUUGAACAAGAAAUCAAAGGAGAAAAUGUGUCUUAUAUUUUGCUGUUAUUUCAUUGCUGUUUUGUUUUGAAAUGUUAAAACUUCCAUAAUUGAGGACUUUAUUUUGCUGAGAUGUAAAAGCUUAGUCUGCCUCUGACAGAGUCCUUGGUACAAAAUUUAGUUUGAAGUAAAUAAACACAUACUUGACUCUGAUAAUGUCCUUUAGAUUUUUCUCUAUACUGUAAAGUUAGAUUAAGACAUUCCCCAAAGGACUGAUAUGAAUAAGGAAGAUUUCUGUUCCUGUUAUCUACAGAGAUAAGCUGUCAUUAUGAGAUGGUAGGCUGCAUUUUAGAGAUUAUCAACAAAAAGUCUCUGUGUAGAGUUAUUUUGAGAGAAGUAAGAGAGAUUAUUAAUAAUAUGGCACAAUCAUUUUAAUAUGGUCAUUUUGAGACACCAAGCCAUUCUUAUGAUACAUUUAGAGUUGUUCAACUAUUUUAAAGGUAUCAAGCCAAUACUAAUAGACAAGUCAUUUGUUUAUAUAAUGUAUUUAGCUGGUUAGUCCAUAUCAAGUCAAUACAUUGUGAUUUCAGUCAUAAAUUAAAGUCAUUACUUCAAGAUGCUUAUUAAUAAUUUGAAGAUGCUAGGUAUUUAUUUGAGGUAUUACAUGUUUAUUAAGACUAAUUCUUAAUAUUGAAACCAUUUGCCGAUCAUUAGAGACCAGGCACUUAUAUUGACAUACUGUGUAAUGAGGGGCGGAAAGUAACUAACUACCUUUACUCUAAUUACUGUAAUUGAGCAGUUUUUUGGCCACUUGUACUUUUUUGAGUACAUUUUGAAAGCAGUACUUUUACUUCUAGUAAAUUUUAACCAAAGUGGCUUUAUUUUUACUUGAGUAAAAGUGCUCAUAAGGGGAAAAGUGCAUAUUCUUUCAGUAUGAAUUGGCUUUCUAUGAGACUGACUGUUUUGUUCUUACCUGAGGAGACCCACCUAAUCACGGAUUAUCAAGAGUAACUGCAUCACUGUCAUAUUUUAGAAAAUUGAUCACAAAAUGUGGUUUAACUAUAUGUAGUGUGGACCAGUAUUGACACGUUACUGUGAAAAUAAAUAACUCUAUGUUAGUGUAAUUAAAAAUGAUAGUUUUGCUGUGUAUUUUACUUUAUAGAGGUGGCUUUACCU